AAAUACAUUGAUACAUAUCUUCUACUAAUUUAGAGGGGUCAAUUCUAUCUUGACUCACACACCGACUUGAUAAGUACUUGACUGCACCCAGUAUCCUUCCAUCAUUGAAUUAAAAAUUUAGAUAGUCUGAUAUCAAAGUAUAGUGAGUUUCUUAUAAGUCACCGUGGUGGUCUCAGAUAUGAGGGACACUUAUACCCAUACCCUUCACGAGUUACUCUUGACAGCAGAGUGCUCGGCAC
rnacentral:lncRNA from 1 species